CAAAGGAAUUGACGGGGACCCGCACAAGCGGUGGAUGAUGUGGAUUAAUUCGAUGCAACGCGAAAAACCUUACCUACCCUUGACAUGUCUGGAAUUCCGAAGAGAUUUGGAAGUGCUCGCAAGAGAACCGGAACACAGGUGCUGCAUGGCUGUCGUCAGCUCGUGUCGUGAGAUGUUGGGUUAAGUCCCGCAACGAGCGCAACCCUUGUCAUUAGUUGCUACGAAAGGGCACUCUAAUGAGACUGCCGGUGACAAACCGGAGGAAGGUGGGGAUGACGUCAAGUCCUCAUGGCCCUUAUGGGUAGGGCUUCACACGUCAUACAAUGGUCGGGACAGAGGGUCGCCAACCCGCGAGGGGGAGCCAAUCCCAGAAACCCGAUCGUAGUCCGGAUCGCAGUCUGCAACUCGACUGCGUGAAGUCGGAAUCGCUAGUAAUCGCGGAUCAGCAUGUCGCGGUGAAUACGUUCCCGGGUCUUGUACACACCGCCCGUCACACCAUGGGAGUGGGUUUUACCAGAAGUAGU
rnacentral:rRNA from 1 species